AUUGAACGCUGGCGGCAGGCCUAACACAUGCAAGUCGAGCGAGCGGCGGAUGGGUGAGUAAUGUAUGGGGACUGCCCGAUAGAGGGGGAUAACUACUGGAAACGGUGGCUAAUACCGCAUACUAUCGGAUAACCCAUAUGGGAUUAGCUAGUAGGUGGGGUAAAGGCUCACCUAGGCGACGAUCGCUAGCUGGUCUGAGAGGAGGAUCAGCCACACUGGGACUGAGACACGGCCCACACUCCUCCGGAGGCAGCAGUGGGGAAUAUUGCACAAUGGACGCAAGAGUGAUGGAGCCAUGCCGCGGGAAUGAAGAAGGCUUUAGGUUUGUAAAGUUCUUUCAGCGGGGAGGCGUUACCCGAAGAAGAAGCCCCGGCUAACUCCGUGCCAGCAGCCGCGGUAAUAC
rnacentral:rRNA from 1 species